GCAAAAUGCACAUUACAGACUAUCAGAGAGCAUUAGCUUUCUUUCUGACUCCCAAGUAUAAUAGACUUUUAGUAAUCAAAAGGAAUUAUAAUUCACACACUAUCAGUCUCAGUCCACUUUCUUUAAGCUCAAUCCCCAAUGCCAAACUCAAGAUCUUGGCAUACACUACUCAAAAGAUUCCUCAAGAUCAUCACAAUCAUCUUCACAAACAAAACAUAAGCAUCUAAUCUUCUUUGUGUCUAAGUUAAACCUUUCCCCUUCAUCUACACAUACAAAUAAUCUACUUUUGGGCUUUUAGCCUCCCUUUUGCCUCAUCUUUUGUCAACAUGCUUGAAUAGUAAAUUGGGAGGAUAAGAAGCAUGUAGGGGUCAUAUUCAUGCACCUAAAAAAAAGAUGGGAUUUUUUAUAUCUUUUAGAAUUACUACCUAUCUAGGAAUAUGUGACAAACUAAACACGAGAUCAGUUGGGCAGCCAAGAAGAUGAGCCGCACUACUGCCGCCGGCCAACCGACACCGCUCCGACGGCCUCUACCAGAACAGCCCCUCUCUCUCUACUGUUCAAGCCCACCACCGCCUUGCACCACUCCGCUCGCGGCGUUCGCCGGCGUUAGCCGCCGGACGAUGCUCCGCCCUCCCUCCUGCCACACCCAAACUCAAGACUUCCAUACCAAUCUUCAACAGAAGCCAAUUACAAUUUUAUUCAAAAUUCCAAAUUUUAAGUAUAUUUAUACAUAUAACCCUAAUUAUAUCUAGGAAACGGAUUAGAGCAUUUUUAAACAAACAUGGUGCAAAUGUUCAAAUCCAUCCCAUCAUCUCAUCCAUGCUCGGGCGAUCCCGUUCAAGUUAUCGCCGCUCCCGGACUCUCCGAGAUUGAUUUCAGGCACACUACCGACAAAACUCGUGGUCUUUCACUUCCUCUUCGAACCUCCCCCUCUCAUGUUGGCAGAUACGAUACUUUGGAAGCGAGCUGUUAUGGGACUUGUGGGUUUUUCUUUUCUAAUUCAUUUAAGCUUUAUUGUCUAAGCGUCCGGAGUUAUGCUUGCAUGACUUUCGGUUAGAUGAUAAACUUUCUUGAAAGAAAGAAAUCCCAGAUGCGGUUUAUUGUAUUUCGAUACAAUUCAUCUACGAAUGUAGACCUUACAAAAAAAAAAAAAAAGAAUUACUACCUAUCUAAAACUUUGUAAGAAUGUGUUGAUAGCUUGAUGGGACAAUAUGAUUGUAAGGGGCAAGGGGAUUGAAAUCAUAAAAGGGUUGGACCAUUUCAUUUCCAUUUUGGCUUUAAGGUCUCUUUUUUGUUCAUCAUUCACUUGUGUAAACAUUUGGAAAUUAAUGAGAUUGAGAUUGGUCACAACCAAGUGAGUAUAAAUACACUCAAACAUUUGGAAUCUUUUGAUUAUAAA